rnacentral:rRNA from 1 species
GAUGAACGCUGGCGGCGUGCUUAACACAUGCAAGUCGAACGGGAAACAUUUCAUUGAGGCUUCGGCGGAUUUGAUCUGUUUCUAGUGGCGGACGGGUGAGUAACGCGUGGGUAACCUGCCUUAUACUGGGGGAUAACAGCCAGAAAUGACUGCUAAUACCGCAUAAGCGCACAGAACCGCAUGGUUCGGUGUGAAAAACUCCGGUGGUAUAAGAUGGACCCGCGUUGGAUUAGCUAGUUGGCAGGGCAGCGGCCUACCAAGGCGACGAUCCAUAGCCGGCCUGAGAGGGUGAACGGCCACAUUGGGACUGAGACACGGCCCAGACUCCUACGGGAGGCAGCAGUGGGGAAUAUUGCACAAUGGGGGAAACCCUGAUGCAGCGACGCCGCGUGAAGGAAGAAGUAUCUCGGUAUGUAAACUUCUAUCAGCAGGGAAGAUAAUGACGGUACCUGACUAAGAAGCCCCGGCUAACUACGUGC